CUACGGGUCGCAGCAGUGGGGAAUAUUGCGCAAUGGGCGAAAGCCUGACGCAGCAACGCCGCGUGAGUGAUGAAGGCCUUCGGGUCGUAAAGCUCUGUCGGGAGGGAAGAACACCUUCGGGUCUGACGGUACCUCCCGAGGAAGCACAGGCUAACUCCGUGCCGGCAGCGGCGGUAAUACGGAGUGUGCAAGCGUUGUUCGGAAUUACUGGGCGUAAAGCGCGCGUAGGCGGCUUGAUAAGUCAGAUGUGAAAUCCCUCGGCUUAACCGCGGAACUGCAUUUGAAACUGUCAGGCUUGAGUACGGGAGGGGGAAGCGGAAUUCCCAGUGUAGAGGUGAAAUUCGUAGAUAUUGGGAGGAACACCAGCGGCGAAGGCGGCUUCCUGGACCGAUACUGACGCUGAGGCGCGAAAGCGUGGGGAGCAAACAGGAUUAGAUACCCGUGUAGUC
rnacentral:rRNA from 1 species